GCUGGGGGAUUAGUGGCGAACGGGUGAGUAACACGUGAGUAACCUGCCCUUAACUCUGGGAUAAGCCUGGGAAACUGGGUCUAAUACCGGAUAUGACUCCUCAUCGCAUGGUGGGGGGUGGAAAGCUUUAUUGUGGUUUUGGAUGGACUCGCGGCCUAUCAGCUUGUUGGUGAGGUAAUGGCUCACCAAGGCGACGACGGGUAGCCGGCCUGAGAGGGUGACCGGCCACACUGGGACUGAGACACGGCCCAGACUCCUACGGGAGGCAGCAGUGGGGAAUAUUGCACAAUGGGCGCAAGCCUGAUGCAGCGACGCCGCGUGAGGGAUGACGGCCUUCGGGUUGUAAACCUCUUUCAGUAGGGAAGAAGCGAAAGUGACGGUACCUGCAGAAGAAGCGCCGGCUAACUACGUGCCAGCAGCCGCGGUAAUACGUAGGGCGCAAGCGUUAUCCGGAAUUAUUGGGCGUAAAGAGCUCGUAGGCGGUUUGUCGCGUCUGCCGUGAAAGUCCGGGGCUCAACUCCGGAUCUGCGGUGGGUACGGGCAGACUAGAGUGAUGUAGGGGAGACUGGAAUUCCUGGUGUAGCGGUGAAAUGCGCAGAUAUCAGGAGGAACACCGAUGGCGAAGGCAGGUCUCUGGGCAUUAACUGACGCUGAGGAGCGAAAGCAUGGGGAGCGAACAGGAUUAGAUACCCUGGUAGUCCAUGCCGUAAACGUUGGGCACUAGGUGUGGGGGACAUUCCACGUUUUCCGCGCCGUAGCUAACGCAUUAAGUGCCCCGCC
rnacentral:rRNA from 1 species